rnacentral:rRNA from 1 species
UACGGAGGGUGCAAGCGUUAUCCGGAUUCACUGGGUUUAAAGGGAGCGUAGGUGGGCAGGUAAGUCAGUGGUGAAAUCUUCGAGCUUAACUCGGAAACUGCCGUUGAUACUAUCUGUCUUGAAUACCGUGGAGAUGAGCGGAAUAUGUCAUGUAGCGGUGAAAUGCUUAGAUAUGACAUAGAACACCAAUUGCGAAGGCAGCUCGCUACACAUAUAUUGACUCUGAGGCACGAAAGCGUGGGGAUCAAACAGG